CUUUAUCUGGGCCUUUAUCUGGGCCUUUAUCUGGGCCUUUAUCUGGGCCUGUAUCUGGGCCUUUAUCUGGGCCUUUUGUCCAGGUGAUCCGGGCCUGUCUUGUCCGGGUGAUCCGGGCCUGUCUUCUUGUCCGGGUGAUCCGGGCCUGUCUUCAUGUUCGGGUGAUCUGGGUGGGGUCAGUCGGUCAUCCAGGUGAUCGACCGACCCCAAAGUGCUGCAUGUUUAAUGACGACAGACACAGGUCUCGAUGGCUUGAACCCCGGGUCACAAGACUUGCGUUAGCUUCCUGAGCGAAAGGCUGAGCCUAGGCAUUAUCUCUAAGAGCUAAACAAGUCUUCAUGUUCACAGAAUCACCUCCGUUACAUAAACCUCCACAACGUCUGGUCACAUGACUCCAGUCCCAUCUCUCUCCUCUUCCCGACUCUAUCCUGACCCAAUCUGAGAUGGGUUGUACCACCCUGAGGAGAAGUUGGCCCUAACCACAAAUCUAGGAUCAGCUUCUUCCCUCUUAACCUUAAAGCAUCGAGGGGAAACAUAGAACUGAUUCAAGAUCAGCGUCUGUCAGCCCCAUGUGUGUAAAUAUAGCAGGAUAUUUCUCCAACGCUGCUUCUACCUUCCUGAGUCUCGCUCCUUUCUUUGUGUUGGGGGGGGGCUUAAAUUAGAACAGCCAUGGUCAAAACAGAGGGAGGAACUGAAUAUUAAAUUAGAACAGCCAUGGUCAAAACAGAGGGAGGAACUGAAUAUUAAAUUAGAACAGCCAUGGUCAAGAGGGAGGGGGGAACUGAAUAUUAAAUUAGAACAGCCAUGGUCAAAACAGAGGGAGGAACUGAAUAUUAAAUUAGAACAGCCAUGGUCAAAACAGAGGGGGGAACUGAAUAUUAAAUUAGAACAGCCGUGGUCAAAACAGAGGGGGCU
ensembl:lncRNA